UACAGGGGGGGCAAGCGUUGUUCGGAAUUACUGGGCGUAAAGGGCUCGUAGGCGGCCAACUAAGUCACACGUGAAAUCCCCAGGCUUAACCUGGGAACUGCGUGUGAUACUGGAUGGCUUGAAUCCGGGAGAGGGAUGCAGAAUUCCAGGUGUAGCGGUGAAAUGCGUAGAUAUCUGGAGGAAUACCGGUGGCGAAGGCGGCAUCCUGGACCGGCAUUGACGCUGAGGAGCGAAAGCUAGGGGAGCAAACGGG
rnacentral:rRNA from 1 species